GAAGUCUGUGAUGAGCACUCGCCCUUCAACCUCUCUGUGAGAACUCUGCACGCUGCCAUCCAUCAGAUACACCUCCGCCAUCCCUCCAUCAUCUGCAGGCGACAGAGCGCACGCGCCGCCGUGAGGCUGCAGUAACCUCUGCAGGUUCCAGGGGGCGCUCUGAGCAAAGAUGGACGAGUCCUCCUCGAUGUAGUGGACAUGAGGGAGCUUCACCGCCUGACGGGGACACAGUCAAAGGUGGAGGUCUGUAGUUAGUGGACAGGUGGAGCUGUUACCAGGUGAAGGACGUCACUGCUCAUCUUGACCAGGAAGCCGCGC